UCGUAUUUAUGGGAUUCAUCUUGGAAACUCUGUUGUUUUACUGUAAAUGUUAAAAAAACAAGGACAUUUCUGAACAAUUUUUACAUAGUUUUUUUUACUUGGUAGUUUAAAAAUAUACAUGCAACUAAAUGAAAAGAGCAUCCGUCAUGAAAACAAGAUCUAUUUAAUAAAAGUGCAAAAUUGUUACAAGCAGAAUAAAUUAGAAUAAAUAUACAUUUUUUAUAUAAAUGAUGAUUGAUGGAUCUCAGUCAUUGUGGGAAGGACCAAUCUAUAUAAAACAAAUAGAAUAUUGUCAGUUUAUAUAUACAGUAUACUGUGUGACGUAAGUUCAGUGUGAUCACCUGCACACCCACCUUGUGUCUCCUCCAUGUUCCUCCAGCCGCAGACCUUAAGGGCAGCAAGCUCACUAAGUAGCCAGCUAAUUAGCUAAUAAGCUGCUAAUCAAAUUGGCAGCUGGCAGCUCUUCAGAGGCUCAGGGCCGGACCGCCAGCAUCUGCAAUCGUCCUCUGGGCCGCGACCCGUCUGAUACCCGAGCUAAGGGCUCCACGGUCCUCCGCCCAUGUGGCACUUUUCUCCUUUCACGGACGCGUCUGAUAACAAGCCUCUGACCGAAAUGAAAUGUCUCUUUAAAUGUUUACAGUAAAUGAGACACACACACACAGACUGAGACACAAACACAACUUGCCUCUAUAGCACAGGGCUCUCCUCGCCUCACCAAUUAGGCCUCUAAUUUGGCUAAUGGAGCAUUAAUGGAGAAAGAGGCCGCUGAAGACCCAAGCUCAGCACAAUGUCCUCCAAGCCACACACUCACACACACACACACACACACACACACACACACCCCACACACACACACACACACACACAAACACAAAGUCAAACACAGAUUAGAUGGAACUAAUAACAGAAUCACAAUGGCUCUCUCUGGAGACAACGAGCACAACAAAAACGCCAAGAAAAGUCACUGAUAUUUGUUUAAAAUUCCACAGGAACCUUAAAAUAUGCUUUUUAAGCCAUUUUGGUUAUCUUAAUAAGGACCAGGAUUUUGAUCCCCACUCCGAAAUUGGUCCCCAUUCCGUGACUGUGUAAACAGAUUGUUGUCCUCACAAUGGGAUAAAACCAACACACACACACAAAGUCAAACACAGAUUAGAUUGAACUAAUAGCAGAGUCACAAUGGCUCUCUCUAGAGACGAUGAACGAAAACCCCAAGAAAAGUAACAGAUUGUCAUUUGUUUAUUUCUUGAUUAUAAACCCAAACCCAUGAAAACUAGAUGGAAACAAUCAUUUCAGAAGAAGUGCUAAAGAAUAUUUGGAUCAUUGACCUCCGGAUGAGAUGGCAGCAGAUUAUCUGUGCUGCUCUCAGAAGUAUUUCCCAAAGUGACCUUCAUCAAACCGAGACGAUGUUUGAGGCCACAUACCAGCCUUCUGCUGCAUUUUCUAAAGCUUAUUAAAUCAAUGAAACUCUGAGCUUACGUUUGAUCAAACUCAUCAAUUAGGGAUCCAAACCUUCAGCUCACAAAGUACGUUACUGUUUUUUGUUUUUCUACAAUCUUUUCGACAACUUUUAGUUGCUCAGGAAUUUAGCGAAAUUUUGCAACGUUUGUCAUCAGAAAUGAAAGACAAAAGACUUUUCACUACUGUAACAUCAGGAUUCAAGAAGGUUGAACUGUUGCAUUGUUCAACAUCUUUACAAAUAUUUCAAAAUCUUCACAAAAUUUUUGAAAUGUGCCCACGUUUGAAUUUAUUUUUUACAUAAUGGAAGUCAGUAAAGAGGAGCCCUGACUACCUCGCCUUUGAAAAACAUUUAUCUUCAAUGAGGACAUUUGAUCACACAUGUAAUAAUCAUACACUGUAGAUGUUUACUACUGAUCAUGAUAUGCACCUGCACCUGUUGAUAUAUGGGUCUUAGCAGGACGUCCCUGAUCCAGUUAUUUACGCCGUUCAGCUUUGCCACUGUUUGUUAAACUUUUCUCACGGACGCCCCAGUUUGCACGCGUUCAGGCUAACCUAAGAAUUGCCUUAUAUUUUCUACCAGUUUGAGCUCAGACUGAUUUAAACAACACCUUUAUUUGGUUGUGUACAUUUCCAUAAAUCAACAAAAACAGGAGAUUUUACCCAAUAUCUUAAGCCUGGGAAUUGAAAGGUAAGAGAAAGUAGAAAAAAAUGCCUGCCCCUUUUACACAAGAGUGAAAAAAGCUAAUAAUAAAUAUUUAGUGUCUAUAUAGAAUAUAGACAAUAGAAAAGGCAGUGUCAUAUCUCUAGAUUUGGGUAAAUUUGAAAUUAAGCAACAUAUUCACUGAUUUUUUCUUUUUGUAGCAGCUCUUGUCUAACAACGUUUCUUUAGCUGAUUGUUUUACAUUUUUCCAAACCUUGACUCUUUGAAUUUAAACUCAUCUUUUAUGUGUUUUUAUCCUGAAUUUUAAAUUCCAAAUCAUCAAUUAUAAUGCUAGAUUGUAAAGUUUAACACCCAAAUGGUGUUUUUCACAUGUUUCUUGUGAUAGAGGACACACUCUAUGAUAAGAAAAUUAAGCUUAAAAUGACAUCUCUUAGUAUUUCUUUAAUUAAAUCGUCGUGAAUAAGAAGCUGAUUUUUAAAAAAGGCUCCCUGCUCCGAGCUCUCAGCAACAAGGAGGGGAAUGGGGGCGGAGUUUCUUUGCACCACCAGUCCCACCCACAACUGAAUUUCUAAUGAACUCCUGUCGCUCUGCAGAAACUUUGUCCUUGAAAAUAUCAGAUUUUUAGAAUUUGGCUAAAAACGUCAUAAUCAUAACUAAAAGACUUUGAAAAAAGAUCAGACAGCAACACAUUUCAACAAUAUUCACAAUAUUUUGCUGAAAAUUACAAAAAUGGGAAAGUAUAUCUGCAGGAAAUUUUAUUUAUGGGGUUCAUUAUUGGAAACUCUUUUUUUUACUAUAAAUGUAAAAAAAACUUUUUACAAAGUUUUUUUUUUUAAAUGAAAUUAUGAUUUUCCUGUAACCCCAUGGAUUUCUACGUCACCACUGAUUGUUGACGGGUUAAGAUGAAUGAAUAUUAACAUAAAGGACGAAGGUGAGGACACACCCACAUGCACUCGUUAACAGAAGCAGACAGCAUGGGAACACGGGAACCGCAGCUGGGAAGACGACCGGCAUGGCGCCGCUCUAGUGCCUCUUAUCGAACACCCACAAGACGCACAUGCUGUUCUUCUUCUGUAUGUGAGCAGAACCGCAUCGGAUUCUCCAAACACGGAUGACCUAGACCUUUGCUUCAUCCAACAUUCAUCAGGAGGAACGUUUGUGUCUUUUAGAGACCAGUCUGAGUGUAAACCCGGCAUUUUAAACAUCUGUGAACAGCUUUCAUGCAGAACGUUGUGCUGCAGCUGAACUCCCAUCAUGCCGUGCUGUGGAGGAGUUUCCAAGGCAUGACGGUGCUGGCGACAGCCAUAUCUGACUCCAUGACCCUUUUCAUGUCUGCCGCUCACAGCUGAAUCUCCCUUUCACACACAAAGACACACACACACACAACCUCCCCACAACUGCAGAUAGUGUCACUUCUGCAGUCUCCAGGCCUUUGAUAAGGAGAGCCCACGAGCAGAAAACGGGGGGAGUGGUGAGCGUUAAGGGCGGGCCUGCGAGUGCAAACCCAGAGAGGGAGCAUGCAGUCGUCCUAAUCUCCAGGCCGGCUCCACAAACACCGCUGUGGCCUCGCAGGCACGGAUCCCGGGCAACGUCACGCAACGCAGCCGCCAUCGCUGCUGCUGCUGCUCACCCACAGGCAGAUUAGGCUGGGCGCUGCGAUGAUGUCAUCUGAUGGAGUCUGAAGGGAAAAGCAGUGAAAACGACUGUGAUGCUUCUGUAACCCCUUGGCAUCAGACAAGCCAUCAGACUAACUGUGAGCACCUGGCCCCGCCCUUAUUGUGAGAGGCCUGGUGUGUAUAUAAGUUCUUGGUCAGCUGGUGCACUUCCUGCUUGCUGCUUGCUACUUCCUGCUUCCUGUUUCCUGCUUCCUGUUGGCUGCUUCUUGCUCUCAGCUGUUGCUGCUGCUGUGGCCACACCAGGACGCCUAAAACAUAUUACGAAUAAUACGAACAAAAACGAACAUAUUUGGACACCUCAGCAUUUACCUUUGGACACUAACUAACCCCAAAGAGACCUGCUCAUUGGUCAGGUUUUUGUUAUGUAUUCUUUGAUCUACAACUUGAUGGCGAGCUACCCAAAUCUGAGAUCCUGAUACUUCCACCCUCAAUAACAACUCCUCACCUGCAGCAAACCUCAACUACAUCCCAACCAAUAGACUUUUGGAAACCUCUCAAUAGGACUCAGACCCAUAUCCCGGUUCCUUUUGUUGUUGUUCUUUUGUAUUGUUUAAAUGUCUAUUUUCUGUUAAUACAAUCGAUUGCCUUUUACUUUCA